CAGCGCCAAAGCCUCAGA
rnacentral:miRNA from 1 species